rnacentral:rRNA from 1 species
UGCAAGUCGCUGGGGCAGACGGAAUGCUUAGCUUGCUAAGUAUGCCGGCGACCGGCGCACGGGUGAGUAACGCGUACCGAACCUGCCCAUCACACAGGGUAUAGGCUUGCGAAAGCAAGAUUAAUACCUGAUGGUCUCAGAUUGUAUGCAUGUAUAAUUGAGUAAAGCCUUCGGGCGGUGAUGGAUGGCGGUGCGUCCCAUUAGGAAGUUGGCGGGGUAACGGCCCACCAAUCCUUCGAUGGGUAGGGGUUCUGAGAGGAAGGUCCCCCACAUUGGAACUGAGAUACGGUCCAAACUCCUACGGGAGGCAGCAGUGAGGAAUAUUGGUCAAUGGGCGAGAGCCUGAACCAGCCAAGUAGCGUGCGGGAUGAAGGCCCUUGUGGUCGUAAACCGCUUUUAUCAGUGAAUAAAGUGCACCACGUGUGGUGUCAUUGCAGGUAGCUGAAGAAAAAGGACCGGCUAAUUCCGUGCCAGCAGCCGCGGUAAUACGGAAGGUCCGGGCGUUAUCCGGAAUUAUUGGGUUUAAAGGGAGCGCAGGCGGGAGUAUAAGUCAGCUGUUAAAUAUCAGAGCCCAACUCUGUUAUGCAGUUGAAACUAUAUUUCUUGAGUACGCACAGGGAUGGCGGAAUUCAUGGUGUAGCGGUGAAAUGCUUAGAUAUCCUGAAGAACUCCGAUCGCGAAGGCAGCCAUCCGGAGCGUAACUGACGCUGAGGCUCGAAGGUGCGGGUAUCGAACAGGAUUAGAUACCCUGGUAGUCCGCACGGUAAACGAUGAAUACUCGCAGUUCGGCCUUUAUGGUCGAGUUGUCCAGCGAAAGCGUUAAGUAUUCCACCUGGGGGAGUACGCCGGCAACGGUGAAACUCAAAGGAAUUGACGGGGGGC